rnacentral:tRNA from 2 species
GCCCUUGUAGCUCAGUGGUAGAGCGCGUCCUUGGUAAGGACGAGGCCGCGGGUUCAAUCCCCGCCGAGGGCU